GAUGUGGAACAUCUAGAAGUUGUCGGUGCUGAUGGCACCAACACGAACACAGGUUGGAAAGGUGGAAUCAUUCGAAAACUAGAAGAAAGAAUAGGUAGACCAUUAUAGUGGGUUGUUUGUCUUCUACAUUUCAACGAAUGUCCAUUUCGUGCUCUUUUCGAACACAUAAAUGUGGGAGUGACAGACGGACGUAGGACCAGAAGUGGACGUAGCUUUGAUGUGACAAGAAUGUAACAGAUAACAACCCUGUUGCUACAGGACAAGAACGUAACAGAUAACAACGAGCGAACGAACAAGUAGAGACAGAGAACGAUUAUUAGCUUAACCGACUCUAACGAACGAUCGAACAGUUUCAGUUUUGGCAUCAACCCGAGCGGACGCUCCGGUUAUAUUGUAUUGUUUGUAUAUUCAAAUAAAUAAAUUAACGCGUUUAAUCAAAUAUAACCGCCUAUAUUUGGGGGCUCGUGCCGGAAUACAUAUUCGGUGCCGGAAUACAUAUUCAGUGCCGCGAUACGUACUCGUAGCGGAAUACGUAGUCGUAUAUACAAAUCUACGUAAAUAUAAUUUGAGCAAAACAGCAUUUGCGCCUGUUGCACUAACAACACGCACUUGUGACCUGCACACAUAUAUCCAUAUUUGCCGCUAAGCAAAUUGGAGUAACGGGCGAAAAUAACAUAUGCGCUUGUUGCAUUAACAGCACGCAUUUGUAACCAUCGCUGGUGGAUGGUGGAUGACUAGCAGUAAAUUGGAGCAACCGAUAGAAGGUAACAUAUACGCUUGUUGCAAUAACAGCACGCAUUUGUGACCAAAGUUCACGGAAUAUUUUAACGCUAUUUUUUCACCGUUACAUACAUAUGUAUACAUGAACAUAUUAAAAUAUAUGUAUUACAUAUGAACGGUAAAACCUAACGGAGUAGGUCACCACUGAAGCACCGUUAUAAGCAGCAACCACCUCAGCGACGCCAACAAACGGUGAAAAAGAAAAGAACGCAAUUCUAGUUCAGCGACGACGCGACCAUACGUAUGUGCACACAAGUUGUUACGAGCAGAUCUAAUUCGCAUACUCCUGCGCCGACGGAGACAUAAGCAUUGCGAGCAGAACAUUCGCUUGAGCAGAGGAGUCUACGAACAUAAAAGUUGUUCCGAGCAGAAUUCAUUCGCAUACUUCUGCGCCUGCGGAGACGUACACAUCAUUGCGAGCAGAACAUUCGCUUGAGCAGAGGAGUCUACGUUUACGCACAACUCAAUACAAGCAGAGCCCAAUUGCAAACUUCAGCGGCACUCCGCCGUUGCCAUACCAGUGUAUACCAAUUAUAGCAGUUGAAAAAAGAGCAGCGAGAAGGCGAAGUUGAAGACGAAAUAAAGAAGAAGUUAAAGAAGCUGAAGACGAAAUAAAGAAGAAGUUAAAGAAGCUGAAGACGAAAUAAAGAAGAAGUUAAAAAAGCUGAAGACGAAAUAAAGAAGAAGUUGAAGACGAAAUAAACAAGAAGUUAAAGAAGUCGAA